rnacentral:rRNA from 1 species
UACAGAGGGUGCAAGCGUUAAUCGGAAUUACUGGGCGUAAAGCGUGCGCAGACGGUUGCGUAAGUCAGAUGUGAAAGCCCCGGGCUCAACCUGGGAAUUGCAUUCGAGACUGCGUGGCUAGGGUGCGGAAGAGGGAAGCGGAAUUUCCGGGUGUGAGCGGUGGAAAUGACGUAGAUAUCGGAAGGAACACCAGUGGCGAAAGCGGCUUCCUGGUCCAGCACCGACGUCAGGCACGAAAGCGUGGGGAGCAAACAGGG